rnacentral:rRNA from 1 species
UACGAAGGCCACAAGCGUUAUCCGGAUUUAUUGGGUGUAAAGGGCGCGUAGGGGGCUUUGCCAGUCUGCGGUAAAAUUUCGGGGCUCAACUCCGAACCGGCCGUGGAAACAGCAAGGCUCGAGGGCGUUAGAGGCAGAUGGAACGCACGGUGUAGGGGUGAAAUCCGUUGAUAUCGUGCGGAACACCAAAGGCGAAGGCAUUCUGCUGGGACGUUCCUGACCCUGAGGCGCGAAAGCGUGGGGAGCAAAAAGG